UAGUUAGAAAAAUCUAUGUGGCAACCUAAGCCAAUUUUCAUUUUGCUCUAUUAUUGGAGUUGCUCUUACUCAUUCGCUCACUCUCACUACUCUGUCUCUCUCUUUUUCUGACGAAUCCCUCACUCCGACCACCGUCGAGUUCUCCGGCUAAUCCCCUCACUACGAAAGCUAACCUCUCUUUGUCGCCGUAAGUGGGCCGCAGUUAAGGUGGUGCAGUGGGUUAAAUUUUGUGUUAAUAUUUCAAGGGUUCGUGGGUCAUCCUCACAAAAUCUCUAACCUUUAUCAUGCUCGCCAGAGAACAUCCAUCUCCCACCUUUCUCAGUCGCAGACGCCGAAUGAACGCCUCAAACUCUCAAACCUCAGGCGCGCCAUGCUAGGGUUUCAUUGCUCUUGGUUUUCGUCUUUAAACUUUUUGAAAAUUGCUUGAGUGUUUUCUUUGAGCCAAAAUUGGUUUGGGUGCGGAGAUUGAAUAAGGUUUUCGUCAUCCUCAUAAACUCAAGCAGCAGCAGCCGAGGUUGAGCGUUCCUCUUUCUAUCAUGGCUUCUUCGCUAGUAGAUCUUUCCAAAUAUCAUGAUUCAAUUCAAAGUUCUUCUCCAGUUAUAAGUUAUAAGUUAAAAGUAGAUCUCGUUCAAAGAUCAAUUCUUUGAUCAUUUAUUUGCGACGAUGUUUUUUUUUCAAAGCUUAAUUUAUGCAAAUUUUGAUCGAUUUUUCUUGGAGGUAAUAGCGUCUAUUCUUUAAUGUUUUUCAGAUUCAUUUGCUUUCUUUGAUUGUUUUUCAUCAGACAUGGUGAAUCCUCCACUGCAGAAGUCUCGUUCUGGAUAAAGUUUUGGAUCUGCAUAGAGUUCAUGACUUCCUCCUUAGCCUAUCUUUUGGAAUCCGACCCCGAAAUGGCUGACAAGUUGAACUACGCUGCAAUGAGGGCGGCUCAGCUUAAGGCCGAGCUUUAGGCGAAGAAACUCGGCGUUCCUGCGGCUCCUAAGGAUCCCUCGAAGCCAAAGGCCUCGAAAAAGAUAAAGGAGCGGGCGCCCGAGAAGGUUACCCAAACCGAGAAGGCCCUGGCCAAGGCCCAAGCUGAAAGGGCAAAAAAGGCGAAAUCGGUGGAAGUUAACAGUCCCCGAC